CCACAUGUAAUUUUUUUUUUUUUUUAAAGGAUGGGUUUUAAUGGUCUAAACUCCAACGGUCAUGACUAAUAAUUGUUUAAAUGGUGGAAAUACAAUUUUGCCCUGCACACAUUUAUCACGUGCAAGCCAACCCUCAGUGACCAAAACUGUAAUAAACCCAAGAUUUAGUUACCCCUUUUGUAUCAGCUGAAAGAAGUGGAGUGUUUCCAUCAUUCAAUAAUGUCUGAAAACGGUGUAAUGCUUCUUUCUGAGUUUGAUCAUGGCCAAAGAUAACCAAGGCCCGCAAGAUUUCUGCUCUCAGAAGUGCACUGAAAUGAUCCUCUCCAGGCAUUGAUUCCCAACCUAGUUUUCUGCAUGAAAAAAUUUCAGAUAUGACAUCUAAGUACGGUAGCAUCAAAGUUUUCUUUGGUGAUCCUAAAUGAAGUAUCAGCCACAUAAACCGGAACAUUACUGCAAGCAUGAGCUCAAAGAGACUGGAAUACAUCAUGAGGACAAACACUGUUCAUUUUAGCACGUAUAUAGGUACGUAUAUAACCCAAUAAGUUUAACAAGGAAGGUAUUACGAUAUCGAAACUGUAUUAGAGUUGUUCUUACUCUGCUGGAAACAGAAGGAGAUUGAUGAAAAAUUGUUUCAAAUCAUUUGCUGAAUCUGGGAUGGCCUCACUUGAUAUUUUGACGACAUUAUAACAAACCUGUUGCAUAUAUAACACAAAAGGUGAUGCUACCAAAAAUAGUUGGUGUAAUUGAUGAUCACCAACAGAAAUUUAUCCAGAAUAUCAUUUUAUGUAGGAACUUAACGAUUUCUGAUUUAAUAUGAAG
rnacentral:lncRNA from 1 species